rnacentral:rRNA from 1 species
CCCGCACAAGCGGAGGAACAUGUGGUUUAAUUCGAUGAUACGCGAGGAACCCUACCUGGGCUUAAAUGGGGAGUGACAGCUGUCGAAAGAUGGUUUUCUUCGGACACUCUUCAAGGUGCUGCAUGGUUGUCGUCAGCUCGUGCCGUGAGGUGUCGGGUUAAGUCCCAUAACGAGCGCAACCUUACCGUUAGUUACCAUCAGGUUAAGCUGGGGACUCUAGCGGGACUGCCACCGUAAGGUGAGAGGAAGGUGGGGAUGACGUCAAAUCAGCACGGCCCUUAUGUCCAGGGCUACACACGUGUUACAAUGGCCAGUACAAAGGGCAGCUACCGGGUGACCGGAUGCUAACCUCUAAAGCUGGUCUCAGUUCGGAUCGAAGUCUGCAACCCGACUUCGUGAAGCUGGAUUCGCUAGUAAUCGCGCAUCAGCCAUGACGCGGUGAAUACGUUCCCGGGCCUU